GAUGAACGCUGGCGGCGUGCCUAAUACAUGCAAGUCGAGCGAACUGAUUAGAAGCUUGCUUCUAUGACGUUAGCGGCGGACGGGUGAGUAACACGUGGGCAACCUGCCUGUAAGACUGGGAUAACUUCGGGAAACCGAAGCUAAUACCGGAUAGGAUCAUCUCCUUCAUGGGAGAUGAUUGAAAGAUGGUUUCGGCUAUCACUUACAGAUGGGCCCGCGGUGCAUUAGCUAGUUGGUGAGGUAACGGCUCACCAAGGCAACGAUGCAUAGCCGACCUGAGAGGGUGAACGGCCACACUGGGACUGAGACACGGCCCAGACUCCUACGGGAGGCAGCAGUAGGGAAUCUUCCGCAAUGGACGAAAGUCUGACGGAGCAACGCCGCGUGAGUGAUGAAGGCUUUCGGGUCGUAAAACUCUGUUGUUAGGGAAGAACAAGUACAAGAGUAACUGCUUGUACCUUGACGGUACCUAACCAGAAAGCCACGGCUAACUACGUGCCAGCCGCCGCGGUAAAAC
rnacentral:rRNA from 1 species